ensembl:lncRNA
GAGCCGCUGCUCUAAGGGAAAACAUAGUACUUUGUGAAUGUCGAGAUAGCAGAGGGAAUCUGCCCAAUUCUGCCCUGCAGCUGAGACUUGGGACAUCUUUAUGAAUUCCUAAGAUGUUUUUGCAGAACUCAAGGUUCUCCAGAGCUCGGGUGCAGAGGACUGUCAACCAUGUGCUUGGGUAAGAGAAGAGAGUCUCCUCACCGGGGGGAGCACGGCCGACAAUAGGCCCUAAUUAAAGCAUGCUGUGGGCUGACAGAGCCCAUUCUUCUUGACUGUGUCCCGUUUAAACUGGGCCUCCCUUCCUGUGCCAUCCACACCCACCUUACUUCACUAAUUUUAAGGGGAACCAUGAAGGCUUAAUACAAGACCUUGGAUGACAGGAAGCAAAUGCGACCUGUUCAACCUCUUAGGAACAAAAGUGACGUGAUUCUUUUAUUAAACAAAGGAGCAAAGGAAAUCAAGCAACUCUCCUGUGACUCAGCUGAAGAGAACAGCCUGUGCAAUGAGUAUAAAUGUUUUUGUAAGAAGAAAAUCAAACAGUUCUGGCACAACACAAGGGAGCUUGGAUGCACUCACAUGUCUCAGAAGAUCUUUAAAUGAGUUUGCAGGGUGUCAUUAAUACAUCGGACUGCAUGAAUAAACCAGCAAACCCAGCAGUGGCGGGUCUGUGAUGCUUCUGGAACGGCUGGGACUAGAGCCAUGAAUCAUGUCAUCUGGUCGGGCUUAUGAAAAGAGCUCUGCGUCUGUUCUCGCCACUCAGACAGACAGAGAGACCAGAGCGGGGUGGUACUAAAUCAUACAGCUCAUCACUUCCAAUGCAUUUGCUCAGCAAGACAUAUUCUGGAUUUAUGGG